CUUGAAGUGUCUACUCACAAACUAGCUCGCACUCAUUAAAGACACAUAUGUAAUUCCCCAGUAACCUCAGGUUUCAGGCUGCAGAUGAUCACAACGUCAGCUGUAAGCAGCUCCCUUCACUGUGCGGAUGUUAUAGUGCAUUUUCAUCUUCACCAAAUCAGGUGAUAGAACAGAUAAAGACAGAAUGACAAUGUGGGGAGAGACAGAAGAGUAUGACAAGCAGUAAGAAAAAAGCCACAACUGAACCAGGGACCUCUGCAGUUAUACGCAUGUCAAGUCGUGCACUCUCACGUCGGAGCAACGCUGCAAUCCUUCAGGCCCGGCCCAAAAAGCAUCUCUCACAUAAAUCAAGCAAAACCCCGAGAGCGCAGCAGGCCCCAAGAGCAUGCUGAUCACCCCGACACUCAUUCCCCUGCCACCGGUCUCCUGGGCUGCCUAAGCCCACAGGAACCCACACCCUGGAGCACAGACCCUGCCAGUCGGCAACAGCAUGCAGAGCGGGUCCUGAGUGCUGGGGGAUUGGGAUGUCGUGGACGCAUGUCACUUUGAUUCAGUGCCUACAGACCGAUGUUUGAGAUGCAGAGAAGCGGAUUCAAGCUGUGACAUAAACAAAUCAAUAUUUCUCAAGAGGCGCAAUUCUCUACACAUGCCAGUCUCCCAGAGCACUGCCUUACAUGCAUGGGACAAAAGGCUGUAGUGUCAUACAAUAAAUGGCCCCGAUGCUAUUUGCAGUACCGUACAGUAUGUGGCUAUUAUCGCAAUACUGCCAAACAUACCCACUCAGUUGUAAGUCUAUGUGUUUUUGUAGUGCAGUAUUAUACACAGACGGUAUAGUUGACAAGGCUACA